rnacentral:rRNA from 1 species
GUAGCAUAAUCACUUGUCUUUUAAUUAAGGGCUGGUAUGAAUGGCGAGACGAGAAAUUAACUGUCUUAAUUUUAUUGCUCUAAGUUGACUUAUGAGUGCAAAGGCUCAUUUAUUCUCAUAGGACGAUCAGACCCUAUGGAGCUUUAAUUUUUUUAAAUUUUUAUACUAAAAAUAUUAUUAAUUAAAAGAUUUUUGUUGGGGCGACAAAGAGCUAGUUUAACACUCUUUUUUUUUAACAAUUAUUUAUGACUAAUAGAUCCUCUUAGCUAGAGCACAAGACUAAGUUACCCUAGGGAUAACAGCGUAAUUUUUUUUGAGAGUUCAUAUCGAUAAAAGAGUUUGCGACCUCGAUGUUGGAUCGAAGAAUCAAUAAGGGGUAGUUUUUUUAUUGGAGGGUCUGUUCGACCUUUUAAUCUUCACGUGAUCU